rnacentral:rRNA from 1 species
CCUACGGGAGGCAGCAGUGAGGAAUAUUGGUCAAUGGGCGCGAGCCUGAACCAGCCAAGUAGCGUGAAGGAUGACUGCCCUACGGGUUGUAAACUUCUUUUAUAAAGGAAUAAAGUCAGGCACGCGUGCCUUUUUGUAUGUACCUUAUGAAUAAGGAUCGGCUAACUCCGUGCCAGCAGCCGCGGUAAUACGGAGGAUGCGAGCGUUAUCCGGAUUUAUUGGGUUUAAAGGGUGCGUAGGUGGGUUGGUAAGUCAGUUGUGAAAGUUCGCGGCUCAACCAUAGAAUUGCCAUUGAUACUGGCAGCCUUGAGUACAGUUGAGGUAGGCGGAAUGCGCGGUGUAGCGGUGAAAUGCUUAGAUAUCACGAAGAACUCCGAUUGCGAAGGCAGCCUACUAAGCUGCCACUGACGUUGAUGCACGAAAGUGUGGGUAUCAAACAGGAUUAGAUACCCGAGUAGUC